AAGGUAAUAUAACCACAUAGACACUCUACACAUAAGGUCUUUAAAUAGGCAUAAUGGUCAUUAGCGUUAUACCAAAGUAGGGGGGAUAGGUCCAGAGAAAGAAAAAUAAUCUACCGUACCUGGGUCCAGGCUGAAGUUGAAGGAGAUAUAUAAACCUGCAUUUUCAUCCAGACCAUCCACAGCUUUGACUGUGAAGUUCAACGUUCCUUCAGUGGGAAGUGUUACACUAAGACAUGUCCCAUUCCCAGCUUCACCUACUGUCCCAUCACCACCCCUGUCGUCAUGUCCCACAGGGUACUUGUUGGGCAGGGUGACCUGUAUGGCCUGUUCAUGGUCCAGGUCCUGGAUGGGUAUGAACUGGCCCUGAGGCGUGGUGAGCUCCAUGGCAACUAGAGUGGUGGAAAUUGGAGGGUCGGCUGCAGUCAGCAAAGGGUUAGAUCCUAAUUCUGCAUCCACAUCAAACAGUACCUGUACCACCUCAGACUUCUGAAUCUUCAGGACUUCCCAUUGGAACCAGGCUGCCAAAUGUUGAACGAGUACCCCUAGGAAGAGAAUUGGAUAAAAUGCUCACAUUUGACAUUCCAGUGCAGAUCACUACCCUUCCAACUGAGGCCAUGGAGAGGAACGACAGCACUUGUGGUGAUAUAAAAUGGAUGAUUUCUUUCUUCAAUUUCAAAGUCCACCUGUUGGACCUCCUCCUGAACAUUAAAGUCUUUGGUGACAUUGCUGUGGCUGAGGACAUUCUGAACAGAAACUUUGAAAAGACAAUGACCCAAACUUGUAAAGGUGUGGAGGAGAAAGGGCUCCUGUGUCUGCAGGGGUGGAAGAUCAGAUUUCACAAACCAAAGCUUUGCAGCCAUCGCCAAAGUCCCAAGUGUAGACGACUGCAUAGGAGGAGGGCUCAGCGGAAGCUUCCAGAAGAAGAGUCUGUUUGACGAGGGGCACGGGAAGGGAAGAGGAAAUGAGGAGCCCUUCCAUGGUCUGACAUGGGGCAGACUGGGUGUGGAUCACUUUGCUACUGCCAUCCCCAAAAUCCCACCUACAUGGCAUGCACCACAUGGGAAUUUGGGAUAAGCUGAAAAUACAACUUUACAGACUUCUCAUGCGACUUCCUGGGCACUUCCAGUGUGACACUUUACUGACCUCCACUGUGAGUUGACCGAUGUCUGGGACCUUGGGGAAGGGGUGUAUCUGGGUCUGAGCAUAGAUGCCGGUCAUGAGGACAACUCCAGUCACGAAACUGGCCACAGAUGGUAAAGAUUCUGCAUGAAGAGGAAUUAACCAAAAUCACCUCAUGAGAAAGAGGUGUCUUCCAGCACAUUGAGCCUUCCUCCACCGUUUCUGUGUCCCCAAGGCCAUUUGAGUACAUACCGCCUGACUUUCACUGGCUCCGGCCCACCAUGAUGGCCCUGCUGGCUUCAAAACCCCAACCUGGUCAGACCCUUCUCCAUCUGAUCCCUUCAGCCAUACCCACACAGUGGUUUUCCUUAACCAGCACGAAAACAAAGGCCAUGAAAAUGUCAUCUCAGAGAGCCAAUAGCAUCGCUGGCUGGGAAGGUGGAUCUGACCUCCUUUUGGACAAGGGAUGUCCUCUGGAAGGCAACAAACACACUGAACCGAUCUCCAAAAGGAGCCAUUUGUCAACAACGGAGUUGUCAAAGAAUCAAAGAAAUAAAAAGAAUGUGGGUAAAUAAAACGAACCAAAGUCUUGAAAGGUGAGCAAGCUGACUAACUCAAUUGAA